GAAGAAAGCUGGCGGCGUGCCUAAUACAUGCAAGUUGAGCGCUGAAGGUUGGUACUUGUACCAACUGGAUGAGCAGCGAACGGGUGAGUAACGCGUGGGGAAUCUGCCUUUGAGCGGGGGACAACAUUUGGAAACGAAUGCUAAUACCGCAUAAAAACUUUAAACACAAGUUUUAAGUUUGAAAGAUGCAAUUGCAUCACUCAAAGAUGAUCCCGCGUUGUAUUAGCUAGUUGGUGAGGUAAAGGCUCACCAAGGCGAUGAUACAUAGCCGACCUGAGAGGGUGAUCGGCCACAUUGGGACUGAGACACGGCCCAAACUCCUACGGGAGGCAGCAGUAGGGAAUCUUCGGCAAUGGACGAAAGUCUGACCGAGCAACGCCGCGGGAGUGAAGAAGGUUUUCGGAUCGUAAAACUCUGUUGGUAGAGAAGAACGUUGGUGAGAGUGGAAAGCUCAUCAAGUGACGGUAACUACCCAGAAAGGGACGGCUAACUACGUG
rnacentral:rRNA from 1 species